rnacentral:rRNA from 1 species
GACGAACGCUGGCGGCGUGCCUAACACAUGCAAGUCGAACGGAGUCGGCCCCGCAAGGGACUGACUUAGUGGCGAACGGGUGAGUAACGCGUGAGCAACCUGCCUUUCAGUGGGGGACAACAGUUGGAAACGACUGCUAAUACCGCAUAAUGCAUUUUGACCGCAUGAUCGAGCUGCCAAAGAUUUAUUGCUGAAAGAUGGGCUCGCGUCUGAUUAGGUAGUUGGUGGGGUAACGGCCCACCAAGUCGACGAUCAGUAGCCGGACUGAGAGGUUGAACGGCCACAUUGGGACUGAGAUACGGCCCAGACUCCUACGGGAGGCAGCAGUGGGGAAUAUUGGGCAAUGGGGGAAACCCUGACCCAGCAACGCCGCGUGAAGGAAGAAGGCUUUCGGGUUGUAAACUUCUUUUACCAGGGACGAAGAAAGUGACGGUACCUGGAGAAAAAGCCACGGCUAACUACGUGCCAGCCGCCGCAGUAA